rnacentral:ribozyme from 1 species
UCGUUGUCCUCCCUUGUCGCUUCGUCUGCCGUGAUGACUAAUGCUUCCGUGUCCUGCAACGGGGAGUCGGACUUUUCAUUUCCCCCCGGCUGUUUCUGUAGGACGGAUAGUGCGCG